CAAGACUUGACAUGCCCUCUAUGAGUUCCCGAAAAGGAACUCUUCACUUCGGGUGGGAGGAGCACAGGUGCUGCAUGGCUGUCGUCAGCUCGUGUCGUGAGAUGUUGGGUUAAGUCCCGCAACGAGCGCAACCCUCGUCUUCUGUUGCUACCAGGUAAUGCUGAGCACUCUGAAGAAACUGCCGGUGAUAAGCCGGAGGAAGGUGGGGAUGACGUCAAGUCCUCAUGGCCCUUACGUCUUGGGCUACACACGUGUUACAAUGGCGGUGACAAUGAGCUGCGAUCCCGUAAGGGUUAGCUAAUCUCUAAAAGCCGCCUCAGUUUGGAUUGUACUCUGCAACUCGAGUACAUGAAAUUGGAAUCGCUAGUAAUCGUAGAUCAGCACGCUACGGUGAAUA
rnacentral:rRNA from 1 species